ACGCUCGACACCUACGGGGGCAGCAGUGGGGAAUAUUGCACAAUGGGGGAAACCCUGAUGCAGCGACGCCGCGUGAGUGAAGAAGUAUUUCGGUAUGUAAAGCUCUAUCAGCAGGGAAGAAGAUGACGGUACCUGAGUAAGAAGCCCCGGCUAACUACGUGCCAGCAGCCGCGGUAAUCUGAGCGGCUGGCAAGGC
rnacentral:rRNA from 1 species